GCGCUCGGUAUUGGUCGAGCCAAACGAGCAGUGACCAAUCAGGAUUAAGAGCGCGGGGUGUGUUAGUGUUGGUAUUCAUGGCUGUAGUGAAGUAACAGGAGCAGGAAGAAGGAGAUGGUGAUGUUUGGAUGAUAAAAAACUAGCAGCGAAGUUUUUCUCUAAACUUUUAAAAGGCCAGAGUUACCACAGCGGGGUUUUAAAUUCGUGUUUUGUUUUAUUUUUUUCGACCCUGGAGAGCAGAAUGAGUAAUUUACUGCUCAGGGUCCUGCUGUCUGCAGCUUUCGCCUGCCAAACAGUAACACUUGGAUCAGCUUGUGAAGGGGUAGGAUGUGGGAGUGCUAAGGCAUCAGGAAAGCGUGAUCAACAUAGUGAACUGCUGAAUCAGUUUAAUGAAAUGAACGCGCCGUCUGCAGCUGGCCAGCACCGGGGCUCGGGGGCCGUGUUACCUUUUAUUGGACUCACUGGAAGUGCUACACAGAGUCGUAACUGCUGUAAGAACGGGGGUACGUGCAUUCUGGGGAGUUUCUGCGCUUGUCCAAAGCACUUCACCGGACGGAGCUGCGAGUACGAUGAACGUGUCAGGAACUGUGGCGUUAUUCCUCACGGAGAAUGGGUUCAAAAAGGCUGCUCGUACUGCAGAUGUGGAUAUGGCAUGUUGCACUGCUUCCCUCAGGUCUUUCAUAGUGACUGUGACGAUUCUCAGGAAGUGCGCUGGUUUCGUUCGAACGCCCAGAGAACACUACUGACCCACAGUCUCCUGUGUCUGGCGCUGCUUCUUUCAUUUCUGCUUUGAAGACGACUCCAGGACUUGUUUUGAUAUUCUGCUUCGUCUUUUGGGCUAAGAUGUUUUCAGGAGUGAAGGAUAAGAAACAGACCAUAAGAGAGGAAAGAAGUUUUAUAAAUUGGAAGCUAAGCAUCGAGCUGUGUUCAAUACAACUGUUUUAAUGUGAAGGACCCUGUAUAAAGGAUUUAUAUAGAAAAUAUAUUGUACUUGUAUCAGUGUGAAUUUUGCCCAUAGAGCUGUAUAUGUUUAUGAUAUAUUUUUUUUUUCAUGAUCUAUGAUUUAAUGUUCAUGUAUCCUGCCAGCGAAUACAUCCUUUAACAAAGUCCUGUCUUUAUAUGUAGUCAAAAUUGUUUGUUUGGCACCACUCUUGAUUGGGAGAGAGUGCGAUAAUGCUAAGAUAACCUCAGAUUGUUGACCUUUCCGUUAUUUUGUUCCUUAUCUUACACAAACAAUUGCUCAGGCCAAUCAAUCACACUGGCCACUUUGACCUACCGAGUUGACCUGAUAGAUUAUGGAAGGGAUGUACUGUAUCUGUCUGUUACUGAAGCAGUGAAAUUGUCUCACGGUCUUAAUUUUCUCAUCAAUAACUCAGACGAUGGAUUAUUUACUGGUCUUAAUUUAGCUGAAAACCACAACAUCAUAAUUCGUCCUGGGCAUGAUUUCAAGUUGUACAUGAGGAGCAAAUAAUGCAGUGUGCAAAUAAAAAAAAUGCAAUGUGCAAUAAAAAAGGAAUAUGAAUGUGAUUCU